UACCCUAUUAUCCUAAGUGUUAAUUAAGAACCUGAGUAGUAAUAGAUAUGUUCUUGAAACUCAAAGAAUUUGGCGGUGUUUUAGUCCAUUCAGAGGAACCUGUCCUGUAAUUGAUAAUCCACGUUUAACUUAACCUAAAUUAAUUUAGCUUGUAUACCGCCGUCGAAAGAGGAAUUUUAAAAGAUGUCUUCUAAUUCUUUUAUUGGAGUAGAUGUCAGGUCAAGGUGCAGUUGAUGUUUAGGGAGUGAUGGGUUACAAUAAGAAUACUUAAACGGAGAUUUACUGGAAGUAGUAGGGGGAAGGAGGAUUUGAAUGUAAUUGAAUUUAAAUAAUUUCAAUGAAAGAGGCUCUAAAACAAGCACA
rnacentral:rRNA from 1 species